AUUCCUAGUGCUAGCUCUUUUUGAGUUAGCUUUUCUUUAGCGUAGAUAACUAAAGGAAUAAGGGCUGGGUAAGACGGGUGCCAGCCGCCGCGGUAAUACCUGCAGCCCAAGUGGUGGCCGAUAGUAUUGAGUCUAAAACGUUCGUAGCCGGUCUGAUAAAUCUUUGGGUAAAUCGGGAAGCUUAACUUUCCGACUUCCGAGGAGACUGUCAGACUUGGGACCGGGAGAGGCUAGAGGUACUUCUGGGGUAGGGGUAAAAUCCUGUAAUCCUAGAAGGACCACCGGUGGCGAAGGCGUCUAGCUAGAACGGAUCCGACGGUGAGGGACGAAGCCCUGGGGCGCAAACGGGAUUAGAUACCCCGGUAGUCCAGGGUGUAAACGCUGCAGACUUGGUGUUGGAAAUCCUUCGAGGGUAUUCAGUGCCGGAGAGAAGUUGUUAAGUCUGCUACUUGGGGAGUACGUCCGCAAGGAUGAAACUUAAAGGAAUUGCG
rnacentral:rRNA from 1 species